AGCUCCAAUAGCGUAUAUUAAAGUUGUUGCAGUUAAAAAGCUCGUAGUUGGAUUUCUGGCAGGAGCGACCGGUCACACACUCUGUGCGUGAACUCGCGUUGUCUCUGGCCAUCCUUGGGGAGAUCCUGUUUGGCAUUAAGUUGUCGGGCAGGGGAUACCCAUCGUUUACUGUGAAAAAAUUAGAGUGUUUAAAGCAGGCUUAUGCCGUUGAAUAUAUUAGCAUGGAAUAAUAAGAUAGGACUUCGGAACUAUUUUGUUGGUUUGCGUUACGAAGUAAUGAUUAAUAGGGACAGUUGGGGGUAUUCGUAUUUCAUUGUCAGAGGUGAAAUUCUUGGAUUUCUGAAAGACGAACUACUGCGAAAGCAUUUACCAAGGAUGUUUUCAUUA
rnacentral:rRNA from 1 species